rnacentral:rRNA from 1 species
AUUGAACGCUGGCGGCAUGCUUUACACAUGCAAGUCGAACGGCAGCGCAUCCUUCGGGAUGGCGGCGAGUGGCGAACGGGUGAGUAAUACAUCGGAACAAACCCAGCAGAGGGGGAUAACUUACCGAAAGGUAGGCUAAUACCGCAUAUGCUCUGAGGAGGAAAGCGGGGGACCAGCAAUGGCCUCGCGCUGUUGGAUUGGCCGAUGACCGAUUAGCUAGUUGGUGGGGUAAAGGCCCACCAAGGCGAUGAUCGGUAGCGGGUCUGAGAGGAUGAUCCGCCACACUGGGACUGAGACACGGCCCAGACUCCUACGGGAGGCAGCAGUGGGGAAUUUUGGACAAUGGGCGCAAGCCUGAUCCAGCCAUGCCGCGUGAGUGAAGAAGGCCUUCGGGUUGUAAAGCUCUUUUGUCCGGGAGGAAAACGUGCCUGUAAAUAAUAGGCAAGGUUGACAGUACCGGAAGAAUAAGCACCGGCUAACUACGUGCCAGCAGCCGCCGUAAGAC